AAGUGUCUGAGCCAAUGAGUAGAGAUACUCACUCUCCAGGCUCACCUGGGGAGAGACUGAGGGACUAAAUGCACACAGCUCUGCAAGCAUCAAACAUCGGUUAACUUAAGCACCCCCAGCACUUGAAACUUAGGGGGAGAAGAUUAAGGUAGUCUGAGAUGUGCUUAUUACCAAGCAAGAAGAGUUCACGCCAAGAUUUUUCUUGAGUACUUAAUCUGGGUGAGGCCCAAGUCAGGCAAGAGAAGAAUUAUCACAAACUGAGUGGGAAACUGUCCAGGUGGCGAAGCUUUGUGAGCAAUGGUGUGAUGCCUGGGCAAAGACAGAGCGGGGGCAGAGAGAAAGGAAAUAGAAUCGAGUCAGGAGAUCUGUUCCCUGGUGUGCAUGCCAUUAUUAGUCAAUUUUGUCAGCUGGUUUCUGGGUAAUUGAUGGCACAGGCUCAGAGUUGACUGACUUGUACCGAGGGGGGACUCCCAGGGGAAUCUGGGUCUGGAUUGAGCCGCAGUGAAUUUGACAUGUAGUAAAGUAUUAGGAACUGCAGGUGCUCCAGAUGACCUCAUAAAGGGUUCAUUUUGAGAUUGUGAAGUUUGCUGUUAGAACAGAGCUGUGAUGUGUAAGAAGAAACUUAGACUUGUCUAGAAAGGGCUAUUUCUCCCCAAGGUGGGUUCAGGACCUUUGCUUGAGGGAAGGUCCAGUGUCACUAUCUGUCCCCCAUGGGACUUUAGACAGAGAUGGGGUCUCACUCUGUUGCCCAGGCUGCUCUCAAACUCCUGAUCUCAAACGACGCUUCUGCCUCAGCCUCCCAAAGUGCUGGGACUGAAGAAGCAAGAUGCCUUGCUGUGGAGAAGACCACACAGCAGAGAAUGAUAGGCAGCCGCUAGGAGCUUAGAGCAGCUCCAGCUGACAACCAGCAAGAAAGCAGGAACCUCAGUCCUAUACCCAUCAGGAACGCUGGCUGCCAUUGCAGGGGGGGCAGGUCAUCUCUGGAACCAGCCACUAGUGGGCUUGGACGAAGACUUCAGUGAGAUGAGAUGAGACGAGACGAGACGAGACGAGACGAGAUCACAGCCCAGCUGACACCUUGGUGGUGUCUCAGCCUUGAGAGACUCUGAGCAAGGGACCCAGCUGAGCCAUGCUGGACUCCUUGACCCAUGAAAACCAUGAGAUAAUAAGUGGGUCCUAUUUUAAGCCACCAGGUUUGUGAGGAUUUGUUACAUAGCGAUAGAAAACUAACACAGGACCUGUACUGCCUACUUUGCAGAGUUGUUUGAAGAUUAGGAAAAAUGUAAAGUACCUGGCAUGAAGAAGACUACAAUAAAUGGUAGCUUUAAGUCACG